rnacentral:rRNA from 1 species
CACGCCCUAAACGAUGGAUACUAGAUGUUGGAGUACCUAAUAGCUUCAGUAUCGUAGCUAACGCGUUAAGUAUCCCGCCUGGGAAGUACGGUCGCAAGAUUAAAACUCAAAGGAAUUGACGGGGGCCCGCACAAGCGGUGGAGCAUGUGGUUUAAUUCGAUGCUACGCGAAAAACCUUACCUAGACUUGACAUCCUGUGCUACCCUGUGAAAGCAGGGGUUCCCGCAAGGGACGCAGUGACAGGUGC